rnacentral:tRNA from 1 species
CGGCGGGUAGGCCAGUGGUUAAGCCACCAGUUUUGGGAACUGGACACCGGGGGUUCAAAUCCCCCCCCGCCGA